rnacentral:rRNA from 1 species
GUCUAUGGCCAUUCCACCCCAAAUGUGCCCAAUCUUGUCUGAUCUCGGAAGCUAAGCAUGGUCAGGCCUGGUUAGUACUUCGAUGGGAGACCACAUAGGAAGAUCAGGUGCUGUAAGCG